rnacentral:rRNA from 1 species
GCACGGGGGGCCUACGGGAGGCAGCAGUGGGGAAUUUUCCGCAAUGGGCGAAAGCCUGACGGAGCAAUGCCGCGUGGAGGUGGAAGGCCCACGGGUCGUCAACUUCUUUUCUCGGAGAAGAAGCAAUGCCGGUAUGCGCGAUCCGGCUCC